GACAGAGGGUGCAAACGUUGUUCGGAAUUACUGGGCGUAAAGCGUGUGUAGGCGGCUAUGUAAGUCGGAUGUGAAAGCCCCGGGCUCAACUCGGGAAGUGCACUCGAUACUGCGUAGCUAGAGUACCGGAGAGGUUGGUGGAAUUCUCGGUGUAGAGGUGAAAUUCGUAGAUAUCGAGAGGAACACCGGUGGCGAAGGCGGCCAACUGGACGAGUACUGACGCUGAGACACGAAAGCGUGGGGAGCAAACGGG
rnacentral:rRNA from 1 species